rnacentral:misc_RNA from 1 species
GAAUGCUUGAGGGAAUUGUGAAGAGGUGAUGGGAGAUUAUGCAAUAAGGACGAUGGUUCUAUUACUCUGUAUCCUAUAAGUUAAUAGCUAGGGCCAAUCCAAUGCGCAAAAAGAAAACAUCAUCCAAGGGUGGCAUGAAGACAAUAGGGAAAACUCAGAAUAAGGAAAGCUAGCUUGAAGAAAAAGAGAGACAAUGGGAUUACGGCCAGAGAUUCAUGGUAGAGAUGACUUUGUUUUCACUUAGACAAAUGCAUUGCGCAGCUUUGCCCAUGCACUUGCUGUACAAGGUUCUGUUACAAAAGUAAUGUUCAAUGACUUUCAUUUUGUGGCGUUUGCCAUUUUUCCCCUUCAAUGCCCUUUCAAGAUGUGCAAAAUUCUGCCUUCCAUCUGUAAAAGUUUGUUCUUUUCUAUUUUCAUAUUUUGAGAUUAUUAUUAAUUUUAUUUGGUUGCAUUAAAAAUAAAAC